GGACCCGUGGUGUAGCGGUGAACAUGCGGCCCUGUCAAGGCCGAGAUCGCGGGUUCGAAUCCCGUCGGGUCCGCCA
rnacentral:tRNA from 1 species